rnacentral:rRNA from 1 species
GUGCCAGCCAGCCGCGGUAAUACGGAGGGUGCGAGCCGUUAAUCGGAAUAACUGGGCGUAAAGGGCACGCAGGCGGUUAUUUAAGUUGAGGUGUGAAAGCCCCGGGCUUAACCUGGGAAUUUGCAUUUUCAGACUGGGUAACUAGAGUACUUUAGGGAGGGGUAGAAUUCCACGUGUAGCGGUGAAAUGCGUAGAGAUGUGGAGGAAUACCGAAGGCGAAGGCAGCCCCUUGGGAAUGUACUGACGCUCAUGUGCGAAAGCGUGGGGAGCAAACAGGAUUAGAUACCCUGGUAGUCC